rnacentral:rRNA from 1 species
AGCGCAGGCGGUGCGGCAAGUCUGAUGUGAAAGCCCGGGGCUCAACCCCGGUACUGCAUUGGAAACUGUCUGGCUCGAGUGCCGGAGAGGUAAGCGGAAUUCCUAGUGUAGCGGUGAAAUGCGUAGAUAUUAAGAAGAACACCAGUGGCGAAGGCGGCUUACUGGACGGUAACUGACGUUGAGGCUCGAAAGCGUGGGGAGCAAACA